GAUGAAGAACGUAGUGAAAUGCGAUAAGUAAUGUGAAUUGCAGAAUUCAGUGAAUCAUCGAAUCUUUGAACGCAUCUUGCGCUCCCUGGUAUUCUGAGGAGCAUGCCUGUUUGAGUGUCAUCUAAAUCCUCAAACCACAUUGAUUCUUUCGGUGUGGCUUUGGAAGUGGGGGUAGUGUUUGCAGGUUUUAUCUUAAGUCUGCUCCCCUGAAAUGCAUUAGUGGUAUCUGAGCAGAAGGAACUACUACAGGUGUGAUAAUUUAUCUAUGCCUUAGUAUACUGCAUAAAACAGAUUACACUGCUUAUAACAAACUUUAUUUCUUUUUUUUGGAGACCUCAAAUCAGGUAGGACUACCCGCUGAACUUAAGCAUAUCAAUAAGCGGAGUA
rnacentral:misc_RNA from 1 species